AGGGUUUGUAUAAUUUUUUGUACUGCCACACUCUUAUUGUUAUUCGUUAUACACCUAGGAAAGCAAAACUAUACUCUUAUUGUUAUUGAGUCCCUUUCAUUUCUCCCUCUUCGAAAACUCCUACAUUCUCAACAUUAAGAAAUGAAAAGCUAUGCUUUAGUUUUAUUGUCUUACUACUCUCUAAAACACUAAAUCAAACAAUUUAUACCUAGUUGUUCUUGGGUUCGCCCCCAAAAGUGAACCUGUAAAUUCACCAACCAAUAACAUUUUGUUAUUUUAUAUUCACCAGUAUCCUUUAAAAAGAAAAUAAAUAAUAAGAAUUUGCUAAGUUACAUUACGUUUUUUAAAUAAAAAAGGUAUAAAUAAAUAAAAAUAAUAGUAAUUGCAGCAAAAAAACUAAACCCUAAAUCCUAAAAACUUGAACCCUAAACUCUAAGUAAACCUUAAACUCUUCGAUAAAUCCUAAACCCUAAAUCGUAAACACUAAAUCUUAAAAACACUAAACAGUCAAUUUCAAACCCUAGCUCCUUGAAUAAAUCCUAAACCCUAAGCCAUAAAUCUUAAUCAUAAAUCCUAAACCUAAACUCAAAACCUUAUACGAAACACUUGUCCUAAACCUAACUCUUAAACUAUAUAUUUAAAACCUAAACACUAAACCCUAAAUACAAAACAAUAAACUAAACCCU
rnacentral:lncRNA from 1 species